rnacentral:lncRNA from 1 species
GAGACUUCGUCUAAAAAAAAAAAAAAAAAAAAAAGGCAAAGAAAAUACAGCCCCAAAAUACUGGGAUUACAACAGGCAUGAGCCACCACGCCUGGCCUCUAUUAUGUCUUGUUAAAGCCAUUAUUUGGUUUUUGGUCUCAUACAGCUGAACUGAAUAUUAACCAAUAAAUAGAGGAAAUAAGAAUCUUUUGUGUUAGAAGAUGUGGAUCAAGGUCUGUAAUAGAAGUGGGGUUCCCUGCCAGGCAUGGCAGCUCAUGCCUGUAAUCCCAACACUUUGGGAAGCUGAGGCAGGAGGAUCACCUGAGGUCAGGAGUUCGAGACCAGCCUGGCCAACAUGGUGAAACCCCACCUCUGCUAAAUUACAAAAAUUAGCCGGGUGUGG